UCCGAAAUGGUCUAGUGGCUAGGAUUUCCGCCUCUCAUAACAUUCAGUAAUGUAGAACGCGGAAGGCCGGGGUUCAAUUCCCCGUUUCGGAG